GAGUUUGAUCCUGGCUCAGAAUCAACGCUGGCGGCGUGCCUCAGACAUGCAAGUCGAACGCGAAAGUCCCCUUCGGGGGACAAGUAGAGUGGCGUCCGGGUGAGUAACACGUAGGUAAUCUACCUUCGGGUGGGGAAUAACGCAGGGAAACUUGCGCUAAUACCGCAUAAUGCAGCGGCACCACAUGGUGACAGUUGUUAAAGCGGGGGAUUUUCGAACCUCGCGCCUGAAGAGGAGCCUGCGGCAGAUUAGCUAGUUGGUAGGGUAACGGCUUACCAAGGCGACGAUCUGUAGCCGGCCUGAGAGGGCGGUCGGCCACACUGACACUGACAUACGGGUCAGACUCCUACGGGAGGCAGCAGUCGGGAAUUUUGGGCAAUGGGCGAAAGCCUGACCCAGCAACGCCGCGUGAAGGAUGAAAUCCCUCGGGAUGUAAACUUCGCAAGAAUAGGAAGAAUAGGCGAGUACUAAUACUGCUCGCGAUGACGGUACUAUUUGUAAGCUCCGGCUAACUCCGUGCCAGCAGCCGCGGUAAUACGGGGGGAGCAAGCGUUGUUCGGAUUUACUGGGCGUAAAGGGCGCGUAGGCGGCCACUGCAAGUCAGUUGUGAAAUCUCCGGGCUUAACUCGGAAAGGUCAACUGAUACUGCAGGGCUAGAGUGCAGAAGGGGCAACUGGAAUUCUCGGUGUAGCGGUGAAAUGCGUAGAUAUCGAGAGGAACACCUGCGCGAAGGCGGGGUGCUGGGCUGACACUGACGCUGAGGCGCGAAAGCCAGGGGAGCGAACGGGAUUAGAUACCCCGGUAGUCCUGGCC
rnacentral:rRNA from 1 species